rnacentral:tRNA from 1 species
UCCUCCUUAGCUCAGUUGGUUAGAGCAUCUGACUGUUAAUCAGAGGGUCCUUGGUUCGAGCCCAAGAUGAGGAGCAA